rnacentral:misc_RNA from 1 species
GAGAUCAAACUCCUCCGCCUCCACCAUUUCUGCAACAGCUAUCUAUGCAGAACUUACAGGCGACUAGCUCGCUCCUCUCGAGCAGCGAGAGGUCGUCCAGCUCCGCUCUUCACACGGACAACAAAACAGGGAUAGAGAGUGAUGAAGAGAUACGGAGGGUGCCGGACUUUGGUCCGCCAUCAACGUCCGGGAGGGAUGCAGGACAG